rnacentral:rRNA from 1 species
CGCAAGCCUGACGGAGCAACGCCGCGUGAGGGAUGAAGGCCUCUGGGCUGUAAACCUCUUUUCUCAAGGAAGAAGAUCUGACGGUACUUGAGGAAUAAGCCACGGCUAAUUCCGUGCCAGCAGCCGCGGUAAUACGGGAGUGGCAAGCGUUAUCCGGAAUUAUUGGGCGUAAAGCGUCCGCAGGCGGUUUUGUAAGUCUGUCGUUAAAGCGUGGAGCUUAACUCCAUUUAAGCGAUGGAAACUGCAAGACUAGAGUGUGGUAGGGGCAGAGGGAAUUCCCGGUGUAGCGGUGAAAUGCGUAGAUAUCGGGAAGAACACCAGUGGCGAAGGCGCUCUGCUGGGCCAUAACUGACGCUCAUGGACGAAAGCCAGGGGAGCG